rnacentral:rRNA from 1 species
GACGAACGCUGGCGGCGUGCUUAACACAUGCAAGUCGAACGGAAAGGCCCUGCUUUUGUGGGGUGCUCGAGUGGCGAACGGGUGAGUAACACGUGAGUAACCUGCCCUUGACUUUGGGAUAACUUCAGGAAACUGGGGCUAAUACCGGAUAGGAGCUUCUGCUGCAUGUUGGGGGUUGGAAAGUUUCGGCGGUUGGGGAUGGACUCGCGGCUUAUCAGCUUGUUGGUGUGGUAGGUGUUUACCAAGGCUUUGACGGGUAGCCGGCCUGAGAGGGUUACCGGCGACAUUGCGACUGAGGGACGGACCAGACUGCUACGGGAGGCAGCAGUGGGAAAUAUGACGCAGUAGGCGGAAGCCUGAUGCGACAGCGCCGGGAGCGGGAUAACCGCCUUCGAGUUGUGAACCGAUUUGGCAGGAGACGAAGCGUGAGUGACGGUAAUGGGUAAAGAAGCAACGGCUAACUACGUG